rnacentral:lncRNA from 1 species
CCAGAAGAACAGGAUUACAUAAUAAAGUUAUGCUUAUCUGAUGUGUACUGGGAUUUAAUAUUCUUGCUUGUGGUCAGACAUAUCUUAAGUGUUAAAUUGCUUAGAAUAUUUGUGAUUUCUGUAUAAGGCAUUAAAGAAUAGGCAUCAGGGACUAGUUAGAAUUUGAACAAAAUGUAUUUAUAACACUUUUUAUUGUUGGAAACUCAACUUUUAUUCUGGGUUAAGCCUCUAGAUAAAAUCUUAAGUCUGCCAAACUAUUAUUCCCCCCACCUUUUCUUUCCCCAACUAUCAAGACCAUUCUAGGAAGUACGUCACUCUACCAAAAAUGAUUGAGUUGUGUUGGGCCUGGGGAAAAAGUCGGGCAAAAGGAGCCUUUCUUGUGGCUGCUGAUAGUUAGGUUCAUCCACCACCGCACUUUGAGCUCGACUAGAGUCGCCAUGGGGUUUCUGCAGAGGAGACAAAAGUUACAGAAACAGUGAAAACUAUCUGUAAUGUGGUAUGUAGUUAAAACCCUAUCGACCAUGGCAGAUAUGGUAAGUGCAGGCCAAACAGCUCCAAUUCCACGUCAUAAAUUAGCACUGUGUUUGUACUUUUGACAAAACACAGUAUAAAUCAAGAUCAGGGCACAGAUCCUGCAGAAUUACUGCCCAUUAGGUUGUAUGGUAAGUACAUGGAGAGGCAAUAUGAAAGAAACAUACCAUCUGUCUUUGUGGCCCCACAGUGCUCACAUGUUCCACUUCAGCUGUGCCAAUAGGUGGUAGCAGAUUAUUUCGACUCAGGGGCGUCGGUGAGGGAGAGGAGAGCGAGUCGGGUGCCACUGGGCUGCAGAUCCCACCAACAAACACGAAGGUAUGAAAGCAUGAAGUUAUAACAAUACCAGCAAAUUGAUUAGAAAUCAGAUAAAUGAAGCAGAUGAGUUUAAUGUGCACAGAAAGCUUUAGGCUACCUAUGUUUUCAAGUAGAGAUCUCAGGAUUUUUGGAAAAUUAGUUUUUAAAAUAGUGUUUUCUGAUUUUGUUUUGAAGCUCUAUACUCUGGGUACACAACAGAAGCUGGCCUUUUCUCUCCCACAGAACUGGAAUAAAACAUUUGUCCCUA